GUAAACUAUAGCCUCUACAACUUUGUAGACAGAUUAUAGCUCAUCAGUAUGACUGAAAAAUCACUGUGGAAUUGCUCUGUAAUAGUUCUGUUGCUAUGCCUAUAAAUAUAAUUUUACUGAGAGACUUUUCCAUUUUCUAGCUCCUCGGUAUCCUUUCCUGUGUCAAACGAAAGGGCCUCAGGAAUAUCGUAAAUGACAAAUUAAAAGAGUCUCAGAUAAAACACGUUUUACAAAUUCAGGGCCUUCUUCUCUCAGAGCUGUGAUGGCCAAAGAAGGGAUGCUACCAGAAGUUUGUUGGUCCAUGAGUCUAUCUCCGAUAUUCUCCACCCAGGAUAUACUGCACACUACUGAAGAUUAGAGUUUUUAAAGUCAGACUGCAAGUCGAGUUUUAAGCCUGAGAAGCAGGAAGCCAUCGCCUGGAAAAGAGGCCACUGGACCAACAUGUUUCCAAGGAGCUGCAUCCCAGUUGGCGACCUACGCCCCAGGCUUUGUUUUGGCAAGGGCAUGGCUUCUCCCACAGACCAUAGCUGAAAGUGCUAGUGUGGAUUUAAGG
rnacentral:lncRNA from 1 species